rnacentral:miRNA from 1 species
GGGAUUGCUGGUUGCCGGGUGUGAGUGUGUGUGUGUGCGUGUGCGUGUGUGUGUGCACGCGCGCGUGCACGCGCACAUG